AAGGAGGUGGUGGCCGCGCGGGAGAAACGGAGCUCCCAGCACGCGCACAGUGGUACAGACGGUCGCCGGGUGUGCCCAACCGCGCGCGCUGCGGGCAGCCGGGGGAGAGCAUUUUAGGGAAAAAAAAAAAAAAAGAACAAAUACCAAACCACAAAAACUUUACUGCUGCCAAGAGCUCAAGCGAUCGAGGCGCAGCAAAGCUCCAAAUCUGGGCAAGAUGAAAGCAAGAUGAGACGCUGGGUGGUUUGGCGGGGGGGUACCAAAGCGGUGCGGUGGCCCGGGCAAGUGGCGGCGGCGGCGCCUCGGGGCUGUCAGAGCCGGGUCGGUCAGGCUCCCGGCGCGCGCUUACCUUGGCGGCUGCAUGAGCCCCUGCAGCCCGCGGGGGGUGGCGCUGGCCGGGCGGCGGGAGAAGAGGGGGUGCCUGGGCGCCGCUCUCGGCCCCGGGGCAAGGUGGGAGGGGCUCGGCAGGCGCUGGUCCCCGCCACCCCGGCCGGCUCAGCAGCGGCCCGGGGCGCGCCGCUUGCUCCCGGGCUGCAUGCCUGCGAGCGCCUGGAGGAGCCGGCCCGAGAGCGAACGGCGAGUGCUUCCCCAGCCCAGAGGCUCGGGAGGCGCAGCCGGCGCUCGGGAGACGACUGCCGAGUCGGGCUGCUCGGGCCAGCCCCCUCCCUCGCCCGGCCCCCGCCCGCCGCCGCCGCCGCCGCCGAGCGCUCGGCGUCGCAAGAAAACAAGCUGUCUUUGGAUUUGGAUGUGAUGAGACCUCUGGAUUUGCAAAAUAAAAAGCAUGACCCAGGGUGCUAA
rnacentral:lncRNA from 1 species